rnacentral:rRNA from 1 species
UGGGGAAUAUUGCACAAUGGGCGAAAGCCUGAUGCAGCGACGCCGCGUGAGGGAUGACGGCCUUCGGGUUGUAAACCUCUUUCAGCAGGGAAGAAGCGAAAGUGACGGUACCUGCAGAAGAAGCGCCGGCUAACUACGUGCCAGCAGCCGCGGUAAUACGUAGGGCGCAAGCGUUGUCCGGAAUUAUUGGGCGUAAAGAGCUCGUAGGCGGUUAGUCGCGUCUGCUGUGAAAACUCGAGGCUCAACCUCGGGCUUGCAGUGGGUACGGGCUGACUAGAGUGCGGUAGGGGGUGACUGGAAUUCCUGGUGUAGCGGUGGAAUGCGCAGAUAUCAGGAGGAACACCGAUGGCGAAGGCAGGUCACUGGGCCGCAACUGACGCUGAGGAGCGAAAGCAUGGGGAGCGAACAGGAUUAGAUAGCCCUGGUAGUCCAUGCCGUAAACGUUGGGCAC